CGGGACUCUGGAGAGAUCCGAGCGCAUCGGACGCCGAAGGUGAAAUACAGCAGAAUUGCUGGCAAAGCUCUCAGGCAAAAGGACAGAGACAAAA
rnacentral:ncRNA from 1 species